rnacentral:rRNA from 1 species
GAUGAACGCUGGCGGCGUGCCUAAUACAUGCAAGUCGAGCGAACAGACGAGGAGCUUGCUCCUCUGACGUUAGCGGCGGACGGGUGAGUAACACGUGGAUAACCUACCUAUAAGACUGGGAUAACUUCGGGAAACCGGAGCUAAUACCGGAUAAUAUAUUGAACCGCAUGGUUCAAUAGUGAAAGACGGUUUUGCUGUCACUUAUAGAUGGAUCCGCGCCGCAUUAGCUAGUUGGUAAGGUAACGGCUUACCAAGGCAACGAUGCGUAGCCGACCUGAGAGGGUGAUCGGCCACACUGGAACUGAGACACGGUCCAGACUCCUACGGGCGGCAGCAGUAGGGAAUCUGCCGCAAUGGGCGAAAGCCUGAAGGAGCAACGCAGCGUGAGUGAUGAAGGUCGUCGGAUCGUAAAACUCUGUUAUUAGGGAAGAACAAAUGUGUAAGUAACUAUGCACGUCUUGACGGUACCUAAUCAGAAAGCCACGGCUAACUACG